GGCUCAAUGGUCUAGUGGUAUGAUUCUUGCUUUGCGUGCGAGAGGUCCCGAGGUUAAUUCUCAGUUGAGCCC
rnacentral:tRNA from 1 species